rnacentral:tRNA from 1 species
GGUUGUGGCUCAGCGGUAAGAGUGUUUGCCUUGCAAGCACAAGACCCUGGGUUCGAUCCUCAGCACCA